AACCAUAGAAACCUGCGGAGUACCUGCGGAGGGAUCAUUAUAGUAUAUGGAAUCUCCAUUCUAUAAACCCACUCUGCGUAUCUUGUAACUGUUGCUUCCAUGGGACUUGGUUCCGCCACACCGGCUUCACGGCUGGUGAGCGCCCAUGGAAGGAGAAGCAAAACUCUUCUUUGAAAUGUAGUCAGUCUGAACAAGUUUUUAUAAACGUUAAAACUUUUAACAAUGGAUCUCAGAUCGGAA
rnacentral:misc_RNA from 1 species